AUCUUAACCUUACUUUUGUGAUUAUUUAUUUCCAAAUAUGUAAAUAAAUUGAAACAAGUAUUGUAGGUACUUACUGUGUUAUAAUUUAAAACUCUUAAUUAUGUUAGUCUUAAAAAAAAAUGAAGCUCAAAAAAUACACUUGUUUACAGUGCAAAUGAUUUUUUAAUGGCAAUAGGGAUUUAGGAUUUCAUUUGCAGGAAAAACAUGGGCAACCUACCCAGUUGGUAAAAUUGCAAUUCAAAAACUCUUUAGAUUUUACUGUCUGGAUGGCACAGGAAGAGACACAAAAUAAUAUUCAGUACUGCAGUCACAGGAGUACAUAGUAGAGAUAUAAGAAAAAAGCUGUUCAACAUCACCUGACACCGUUUAGUUUUUAGAAAAUGAAAAGUCUUUAGGUUGAAUGCGAUCUGCAGUAUCUUGCAUUGCUACAUAAUGAAUGUGUUUAUAUAUGGUAUUUUUUAUUGAAUAAUCUAUACAGGAACAACUAAAUGAAUGUAUAAAUAUAUUGCAGACAUUACAUUUAGUUUUUUAGAGCAGCAAGUUUUUUUGUGUUUCAACAAGGUCAUUAGUCAUCCAACGAGGAAAUUUGGGAUUUUUUAAUCUUACACGUGGUAUUGAACAAUGGAUAACCCAGUCUGUAAGCAUUCACUUACCCACAAAUCAACACUGGUUGCGGCAUCUUUAUGCCUACAUCCAUCUUUCAAAUCAAUGUCAUAGGAGUGUUUAAUGUUCGUGUUAUCUUUUCUUGUAAGUAAAUCAACUCUCAAUAAUAUUUAAAAAAUGGAUUACUGAUAACAUUUUUGUUUUAAAUUAUAUUGUGUAUAUGUAAAUAUUUUACUUACAUUUUUGAAUAUGCCCAUAAUGUGUUUUAACUUAUGUUACUUGUAUGUAUUGUAAUAUUCCUGCACAACAAUCAGUUUGAAUAUUUUUAGAUGUUAGUAUUUGAUUAGUACACAAAAUGCAGAGAUGUUCUCUCUUCUAUCUUAAGAGCUGAUUUAAUCUCUACUUGUAGGUAUCUGUAAAGUUUAUCAUUUUUCCCAUGAACAAUUUCAACACUUCCGGUUCUUCAGCGUCUAUCCAAACCUGUUACGAUGACGUAAUCAUAUUUCUCUUCUCUUUCUCUAGGUAAUCUAGUCUAGUAAUUAAUUCUCGAACUGUCUUGUUUGUAUUAAAUAUCUUAAUUAUGUACUUAUUUUAUUUUUAUAAUGAAAAUUAAUAAAUCAACCAUAUGCGGCACAAGAUACAAAUGUUUUCGGAAAUAUAUUUAUAAGAAUUUAAUUACCUCUUUUGUAUACGACAUAUACAGGGUGAGUCAUGAAUAACUGUACAUACUCCUACCUCGUAUAGAGGCCCCUAUGGGGAAUAACAAAUGGCCAUUAAGAAAUGUCUGCUCCCAUUGUUUAAUAAUAUACAGGGCGAGUUUCGCAUUUUGACAGAAAUUUGUAUUCGUCAUAAUUUUUGAACGGUCAGAUCGAUGUGUCUCUUAUUUUGGUCAAUCGUUACACUAUUGCCACCUAAUCAACUGAUUUAUUCCAACUAGAAAAAAAUCAGGUCCGGCUUUAAAAAAAUUAGUUCGUUUGGGUCUUAGAAAAAAUUUCACCCUUUAUAAGCUUUUUGAAAACUCUAAUACGAAUUUUACAAAUUACACAAAUAGGGAAUUAAAAUAACAUAUUUAUUUUUUUCCGCACACGAUUGCUUAAUUUUUUAUAAAAAAAUCAAAUUUGAUUAUGAAUUAAAAGUUUGGUAAAGUGAACCAUAGAUUUAACAAAAUUAACUUUUAUUACCAAAAUUAAUUUUUUUGAACAAAUAUUUAAUUUAUGUUACCACCAAUCAACUGAUUUAUUCAAACAAGAAAAAAUCAGGCCCGGAUUUAAAAAAAAAAAGUUCGUUUUGGUCUUAGAAAAAAUUUCACCCUGUAUACGCUUUUUGAAAACUCUAAUAUGAUUUUUACAAAUUAGACAAAUAGGCAAUUAAAAUGGUAUAUUUAUUUUUUCCCCACACGAUUACUUAAUUUUUUAUAAAAAAAAUCAAAUUUGACUAUGAAUAAUUAAAAGUUUGGUAAAGUGAACCAUAGAUUAAAAAAAAUAACUUUUAUUACAAAAAUGAAUUUUUUUUGAACAAAUAUUUAAUUUAUGUUAUCACCCAAUCAACUGAUUUAUUCAAACUAAAAAGAAAUCAGGCCCGGAUUUAAAAAAUUAGUUUGUUUGGGUCUUAGAAAAAAUUUCACCUUGUAUACGUUUUUUGAAAACUCUAAUAUGAAUUUUACAAAUAAGACAAAUAGGCAAUUAAAAUGGCUUAUUUGUUUUUUCCCCACACGAUUACUUAUUUUUUUAUUAAAAAAUCAAAUUUGACUAUGCAUAAAAAGUUUGGCAAAGUUUUUGCAUAGAUUUAAAAAAAUUAACUUUUUUUACAAAAAUUAAUUUACAAAAACAAUGUUUUUCUUAAAAUUAAAAGUUUUACCAUUUUUCUUUUCUACAACACGUCUAGAUCUAAAACUUCUCAUAACACUUCUUUUGGACUCUAUAGUUUAACAUAGACGUGAUCAAAUUUAUAAAUUUUAAAUUUUUCCACCUAAUUUUUGCGAUUUACAAGUUUGCAACUUUUACAAGAAGAAGACUGAAAGUCUACAACAAUUUUCAUAGUCUUCACAAUGGUAAGAGGUAUGUGCUGUAAAAAUUUCAGAAAAAAAAUAUUAAAAUGGAAAAGAGUUGUAGCGAGCUAAACCUUGAGUUCAUUUUUUUUUCAUUUUUAGGUUAAAAUUCCGAUUUUGACAAAUUUGAUUUUUUAAUAAAAAAAUAAGUAAUCGUGUGGGGAAAAAAUAAAUAUGCCAUUUUAAUUUCCUAUUUGUCUUAUUUUAAAAUUCAUAUUAGAGUUUUCAAAAAGCGUAUACACAGUGUGAAAUUUUUUCUAAGACCAAAACGAACAAAUUUUUUAAAUCCGGACCUGAUUUUUCUCUAGUUUGAAUAAAUCAGUUGAUUGGAUGGUAACAUAAAUUACUUAUUUGUGCAAAAAAAAAUAAUUUUUGUAAUAAAAGUUAUUUUUUUUAAAUCUGAGGUUCACUUUACCAAACUUUUAAUUCAUAGUGAAAUUUGAUUUUUUAUAAAAAAUUAAGUAAUCGUGUGCGGAAAAAAAAUAAAUAUGCCAUUUUAAUUGCCUAUUUGUCUAAUUUGUAAAAAUCAUAUUAGAGUUUUCAAAAAGUGUAUACAGGGUGAAAUUUUUUCUAAGACCCAAACGAACUAAUUUUUUUAAAGCCGGACCUGAUUUUUUUCUAGUUUGAAUAAAUUAGUUGAUUAGGUGGUAAUAGUGUAACGAUUGGCCAAAAUAAGAGACACAUCGAUCUGACCGUUCAAAAAUUAUGACGAAUACAAAUUUCUGUCAAAAUGCGAAACUCGCCCUGUAUAUUAUUAAACAAUGAGAGCAGACACUUUUUAAUGGUCAUUUGUUAUUCCCCAUAGGAGCCUCUAUACGAGGUAGGAGUAUGUACAGUUCCUCAUGACUCACCCUGUAUAUAUAAUAAGUAAAAACUAUUUUUAUAGCUAGGAAUUACUUUAUUGAACAGUCUUAAACCUGUUCAUAAAUUUUGUUACUAUAUUUUUUAACUCCGAUUUGUAGGUAGCAAAUAAUAUUUGUUAUUCUUAUCUUAUUUUAAUUAUAUUCAUUUAAGUUUUGAUUUAACAAAUAAACCUAUCAAUCAAAAAACUGUUGUUUAGCUGUGUACACCCAAAAACUAGCUUGAUGUAAUACAGAUGAAUAUGAAGUAAAUACAUGUCAUAAAGACGUCUUUCUAUGGUCAAAAUUUCAUCCUAAAGACGUCAUUUAUAUGUCUUACGUCACAAAAUUACCACAAUAAAACGUUGUCACUAAUUGCUCAAUUUAAUGUCAUUCAAGUUAGAUGUGAUGUAUUGAUGGCAAAUUGGUCAUUAAACCUGACAUCAUAUUUUGGUCAUGUUUAUGUCGCCUAUCAAUUAAGACUAAAAAAACAAGUCACUUCACUCUGUUGGCUGGUCAUUUAGAGGAUUUGAAAUACACGGAUUACUGAAUUUUAAAGAAAGAUGCAUUAAAUAUAAUAAAAAAAGACAACUUAUGACAAUAAAACAUUAACAUCAAAAUUGUUAGUCUUUGUUCUGCUCAUACUUAACAUAAUCGUCCUAUUUGAAGUCCAUAUACUGUGUAAUAAAACUUAAAGCCACUUUGUAGGCGUUUUUGACAUUAUCAUAAUUGUCUUUAAUAGUAAAAUGUAUGUGUAACGCAAUAGAUGUAAAAUUAUUAUUAUUAACACAUUUACGGACACGCUUAGCCUGUAGCCACGUCUUCUUAUGGAGUAAAUGACUUAAAUGUGUUAAAUAAUUAAAACAAACAAUUAUUUUAAUUGCUUUGGCUUUCAAUAUAAACCAGAAUAAUACCACCAUUAAUUUUUAAGUAUAUUAUGUAAGAAAAUAGAAUUUACCUAAUAACUCACCUCGCCCCCAGGUAAAGUAAAGGUGCUGCGUCACUGAAA